AGUGAACGCUGGCGGUAGGCCUAACACAUGCAAGUCGGACGGCAGCACAGGAGAGCUUGCUCUCUGGGUGGCGAGUGGCGGACGGGUGAGGAAUACAUCGGAAUCUACUCUGUCGUGGGGGAUAACGUAGGGAAACUUACGCUAAUACCGCAUACGACCUACGGGUGAAAGCAGGGGACCUUCGGGCCUUGCGCGAUUGAAUGAGCCGAUGUCGGAUUAGCUAGGUGGCGGGGUAAAGGCCCACCAAGGCGACGAUCCGUAGCUGGUCUGAGAGGAUGAUCAGCCACACUGGAACUGAGACACGGUCCAGACUCCUACGGGAGGCAGCAGUGGGGAAUAUUGGACAGUGGGCGCAAGCCUGAGCCAGCCAUACCGCGUGGGUGAAGAAGGCCUUCGGGUUGUAAGGCCCUUUUGUUGGGAAAGAAAUCCAGCAGGCUAAUACCCGGUUGGGAUGACGGUACCCAAAGAAUAAGCACCGGCUAACUUCGUGCCAGCCGCCGCCGUAA
rnacentral:rRNA from 1 species